rnacentral:rRNA from 1 species
UACGUAGGGGGCAAGCGUUGUCCGGAAUCAUUGGGCGUAAAGAGCGUGUAGGUGGCUCGGUAAGUCCGCUGUGAAAGUCCAGGGCUCAACCCUGGAAAGCCGGUGGAAACUGUCGAGCUCGAGUCCGGAAGAGGCGAGUGGAAUUCCUGGUGUAGCGGUGAAAUGCGCAGAUAUCAGGAGGAACACCAAUGGCGAAGGCAGCUCGCUGGGACGGUACUGACACUGAGACGCGAAAGCAUGGGGAGCGAACAGG